UUCAGUGCUAGCUUGGGCAGAACUUUAACCAAAAUGGACCCAUACAGAGAUUAGCGUGGUUCCCCUGCCCAAGGAUGACAUGCAAAUUCGUGAAGAGGUGCAUAUUUUU